GACGAACGCUGGCGGCGUGCUUAACACAUGCAAGUCGAACGGAAAGGCCCUGCUUUUGUGGGGUGCUCGAGUGGCGAACGGGUGAGUAACACGUGAGUAACCUGCCCUUGACUUUGGGAUAACUUCAGGAAACUGGGGCUAAUACCGGAUAGGAGCUCCUGCUGCAUGGUGGGGGUUGGAAAGUUUCGGCGGUUGGGGAUGGACUCGCGGCUUAUCAGCUUGUUGGUGGGGUAGUGGCUUACCAAGGCUUUGACGGGUAGCCGGCCUGAGAGGGUGACCGGCCACAUUGGGACUGGGAUACGGCCCAGACUCCGACGGGAGGCAGCAGGGGGGAAUAUUGCACAAUGGGCGGAAGCCUGAUGCAGCAACGCCUCGGGCGGGAAGACGGCCUUCGGGUUGUAAACCGCUUUCCCCUGUGACGAAGGGGGAGGGGCGGUAAUGGUAAAAGAAGCACCGGCUAACUACGU
rnacentral:rRNA from 1 species